rfam:Ovis aries breed Texel chromosome 1, whole genome shotgun sequence.
UCCCUGGUAGCUCAGAGGUUAAAGCGUCGGCCUGCAACGCGGGAGACCUGGGUUCGAUUCCUGGGUUGGGAA